UGGGGAAUUUUGGACAAUGGGCGAAAGCCUGGAUCCAGCAAUGCCGCGUGUGUGAAGGAAGGCCUUCGGGUUGUAAAGCACUUUUGUCCGGAAAGAAAUCCUUGGCUCUAAUACAGUCGGGGGAUGACGGUACCGGAAGAAUAAGCACCGGCUAACUACGUGCCAGCAGCCGCGGUAAUACGUAGGGUGCAAGCGUUAAUCGGAAUUACUGGGCGUAAGCGUGCGCAGGCGGUUUGCUAAGACCGAUGUGAAAUCCCCGGGCUCAACCUGGGAACUGCAUUGGUGACUGGCAGGCUAGAGUAUGGCAGAGGGGGGUAGAAUUCCACGUGUAGCAGUGAAAUGCGUAGAGAUGUGGAGGAAUACCGAUGGCGAAGGCAGCCCCCCGGGCCAAUACUGACGCUCAUGCACGAAAGCGUGGGGAGCAAACAGGAUUAGAUACCCUGGUAGUCCACGCCCUAAAACGAUGUCAACUAGUUGUUGGGGAUUCAUUUCCUUAGUAACGUAGCUAACGCGUGAAGUUGACCGCCUGGGGAGUACGGUCGCAAGAUU
rnacentral:rRNA from 1 species